rnacentral:rRNA from 1 species
CCUACGGGUGGCUGCAGUGAGGAAUAUUGCUCAAUGGAGGACACCCUGAUGCAGCCACGCAGCGUGAGUGAUGACGUCCCUCGUUGUUGUAAACUUUUUUUAUAUGGAAGUAAAUUAUUCUACGUGUGUGAUUUGGUAUGUACCAUUUGAUUACAGAUCGGCUAACUCCGUGCCAGCAGCCGCGGUAAUACGGAGGAUCCGAGCGUUAUCCGGAUUUAUUGGGUUUAAAGGGAGCGUAGGUGGAAUGUUAAGUCAGUUGUGAAAGUUUGGGGCUCAACCGUAAUACUGCAGUUGAAACUGGAAGUCUUGAGUGCAGUAGAGGUAGGCGGAAUUCGUGGUGUAGCGGUGAAAUGCUUAGAUAUCAGGAAGAACUCCGAUUGCGAAGGCAGUUUACUGGACUGCAACUGACACUGAGGCUCGAAAGUGUGGGUAUCAAACAGGAUUAGAUACCCUAGUAGUC